AACGAACGCUGGCGGCAUGCAUAACACAUGCAAGUCGAACGAGUGCCUUCGGGUGCUAGUGGCGCACGGGUGCGUAACGCGUGGGAAUCUGCCCCUUGGUUCGGAAUAACAGUUGGAAACGACUGCUAAUACCGGAUGAUGACGAAAGUCCAAAGAUUUAUCGCCAGAGGAUGAGCCCGCGUAGGAUUAGCUAGUUGGUGUGGUAAAGGCGCACCAAGGCGACGAUCCUUAGCUGGUCUGAGAGGAUGAUCAGCCACACUGGGACUGAGACACGGCCCAGACUCCUACGGGAGGCAGCAGUGGGGAAUAUUGGACAAUGGGCGAAAGCCUGAUCCAGCAAUGCCGCGUGAGUGAUGAAGGCCUUAGGGUUGUAAAGCUCUUUUACCCGGGAUGAUAAUGACAGUACCGGGAGAAUAAGCUCCGGCUAACUCCGUGCCAGCAGCCGCGGUAAUACGGAGGGAGCUAGCGUUGUUCGGAAUUACUGGGCGUAAAGCGCACGUAGGCGGCUUUGUAAGUUAGAGGUGAAAGCCUGGAGCUCAACUCCAGAACUGCCUUUAAGACUGCAUCGCUUGAAUCCAGGAGAGGUGAGUGGAAUUCCGAGUGUAGAGGUGAAAUUCGUAGAUAUUCGGAAGAACACCAGUGGCGAAGGCGGCUCACUGGACUGGUAUUGACGCUGAGGUGCGAAAGCGUGGGGAGCAAACAGG
rnacentral:rRNA from 1 species